UACGUAGGGUGCAAGCGUUGUCCGGAAUUAUUGGGCGUAAAGAGCUCGUAGGCGGUUUGUUGCGUCGGCUGUGAAAUCCCGAGGCUCAACCUCGGGUCUGCAGUCGAUACGAGCAAACUAGAGUGUUGCAGGGGAGACUGGAAUUCCUGGUGUAGCGGUGAAAUGCGCAGAUAUCAGGAGGAACACCGGUGGCGAAGGCGGCAUCCUGGACCGGCAUUGACGCUGAGGCGCGGAAAGCCAGGGGAGCAAACGGG
rnacentral:rRNA from 1 species